UUGUUGUUGCUGCCCGAAUCGCGUGGAUUCGGGCUUUGCUUCUGAUGGUAUUUGUUGAUUGUGCAGGUCGUCCGCGGAAGAAACACUCGAUGCUUCUACAUGGAUAUGCUGCGUUUGGUUCAGUGCUCUGACCCUGUCCCAAAGGCGUGCCACACUCUCCUCACUGGUUCUACCUGGGGUGGUUUUAUGGUAAAAGAAAUAACACCUCGCACCCACAAAGGAGCUCAGCAGCUGAGCUAACAUCGAUCACUAAAUGGGAAUGAAUAGAUGACUGUUACAUGAUUCCAAUCAAUAAUUGCUUCUGUACUGCCCAACCCCAUCAGAAUGCAAACAGCAGAUGCAGGACAUCACUACCAUCUAUGUUGGCCAUCCCACCCAGCUGGGGUGCCUGGUUGGUUUAUUUGUCGAAACCUUAUCAGAAACCUGUAUGCAGAGGACACUCCACACUCUACCAUUGGCAGAAUUCCUAAUGGUGAUUCUUUGGAUGACAAAGAAAAGUCGCAGAUUUUGCCGUCACUCGGUGGCUCUACCUUCUUGUCCUGAAGCUUGUGCUGGCAUGGAGGCGCCAGAAAUAUCUACGAUAUGCUCCACAAAGGGUUGUCGGCACGCACGCCCAUGCUAACAGGACCUUCGGCGUAUAAAAGGCGUUGCUUUCUACCCCCCUUCCAACUUUCCGUGUUUCCCCCAAAUAUGUAAUAUUAUCUUAAGAACAGCAGCCAUCAUAUAUAUCCUGAGUGGAUAAGGACGAAGAGUAAGAUAAGUCGGAGAAGUCAACGAGUGAACCAAGCAAACAGUUAAUGGGCUAAUCCUGCUCAGUUGGAGACAAGCAUAGGCGUGAAAGAGACGCAUUCAAUGGACUGUCCGAUACCCCACCCGAUUGUUUUUAAGGGUAAAUUCUCCAAAUGAGAAUCUCGCACAGUAUCA